rnacentral:rRNA from 1 species
UGCAGUCGACGAUGCUUUCGGGCAUAGUGGCGCACGGGUGCGUAACGCGUGGGAAUCUGCCCUUGGGUUCGGGAUAACCGUUGGAAACGACGGCUAAUACCGGAUGAUGACGUAAGUCCAAAGAUUUAUCGCCCAGGGAUGAGCCCGCGUCCGAUUAGGUAGUUGGUGGGGUAAAGGCCUACCAAGCCGACGAUCGGUAGCUGGUCUGAGAGGAUGAUCAGCCACACUGGGACUGAGACACGGCCCAGACUCCUACGGGAGGCAGCAGUGGGGAAUAUUGGACAAUGGGCGAAAGCCUGAUCCAGCAAUGCCGCGUGAGUGAUGAAGGCCUUAGGGUUGUAAAGCUCUUUUACCCGGGAUGAUAAUGACAGUACCGGGAGAAUAAGCCCCGGCUAACUCCGUGCCAGCAGCCGCGGUAAUACGGAGGGGGCUAGCGUUGUUCGGAAUUACUGGGCGUAAAGCGCACGUAGGCGGCUUUGUAAGUUAGAGGUGAAAGCCUGGAGCUCAACUCCAGAACUGCCUUUAAGACUGCAUCGCUUGAAUCCAGGAGAGGUGAGUGGAAUUCCGAGUGUAGAGGUGAAAUUCGUAGAUAUUCGGAAGAACACCAGUGGCGAAGGCGGCUCACUGGACUGGUAUUGACGCUGAGGUGCGA